CGCGCUAACUGAAGAGAUCAGCGUGUUUAUUGACCACUUGUUGGUAUCCUGGACCGAAAGGUUUGGGCAAUCCGCUGAAACUUCUUCGUGAUUGGGAUUGAGCUUUGUAAUUAUCGCUCAUGAACGAGGAAUUCCCAGUAAGCGCGAGUCAUCAGCUCGCGUUGAUUACGUCCCUGCCCUUUGUACAC
rnacentral:rRNA from 1 species